rnacentral:lncRNA from 1 species
GCAAAAAACAAGAGGGAUAAAACGACAUCAUCCGGAGGGAAAAGGCACAUACUUUAGCAGUUAAUUUAAUGCUUAAAUGCCAAUAAAAAUUACCUGUAUGGUAAUCUGCGGAAUUCUGUUGCUGUGGGAGGGAGCGUCGUUCAUUUACUGCUGUUGAGCCUCAGGAUUGCAUCCCCAAAUAAAAGACCAGAUAAUUACCCACAUUUCCCAGCAUGAGGGUGGAAUAACCAGGUGGACCAAACUGUCAAAACAAUUAUCUACUGAACUGCAAUGACGAUGAUGAGAGAGAACUCCUUUGCUAACAACUGCCAAGAUGCAGAGCAUGCUCAGACUACACUCAAAGCCCUAUGUCAUGGAGAUCCUUGCUGUGGGUGCCAGGUUGUUAACAUAGAUUGCAGCCAAAGAAUUUUAUUGUGGAAGGUGUGUGUGGGUCAGUGCCUCUCCUGUACAAAGGACGCCACAUCUGGACCCAGUACUCCAGGUGAGGCCUUGCCAGCGCAGAGUAGAGGACAGGACCAUCUCCCUGGCCCUGCUCACCAUGCUUCUUUCGAAUGGCAUCCCGUCCCUCAAGUGUGUCAGCUGCAUUUUCAUGGAGGAUGUUUAGGUGAGUACCUUGUGUUCAUGCUUGUUAUUUAGCUCUGCAGGCAGUGGCUCACUCCAAUCCUCCCACAGGUACCUCUCCAGAAUAUA